AUUAGACCAUUGACGGUAAGCCUGCCAAGUGCAAACUUAAAAUAGCGUCGUAGUUUUAUCCAUUGAAAAGCUUUAUUGUUGUGAGCAUUUAUCAAUUAUGGCCGUUUCAAUUUUCUGUUGUCCUUUUUUUAUCGAUUGCUCAAUCGUAGGAUCUGCGAUAUCCAUGAGACAUGAGUGUCCCGUCCCCCAACAACGUGUUUGAAAAAAAAAAGCAUUCAAUGGUUCUAAAUGUUUGAAACAGCCCAGGACUCCCCUGAAGAGGAGAUGGUUCAAUAACUCAAUAACGUAUCAAUGUUAGUACUAGUAUAUACAAUAUACUACUUCUAAAACUCCAAUGGCAACAAAAAGAUGAAGAAUUUAGCCUUAAAUGUUGGUGUGGAGUUGGAGCUAAUUUGCUGCCAGCCCCUGUUGUGAUGUGUUCAAUGUCAAGUAAUGCAUAUAAAUAGCCGGACCCUGACAAAUUAUUACUCGCACUUGAGAUUUCUUAGAACAGGCUGGCGAGUUCUGAGCUUCUUUGUGUCAGUCCAAUGCAAUAUGUGCAGAUGGGUUUGUUGCAGCCCAGCUGGUGAUAAUAGGUGUUCUUCUUGCUACCUGUACCAGCUGUAAUAUGUUUCAUAUCAUACAAAACACUUCACAGAAUGAACAACACACUUCGGAACAAUGAAAGAUUAGCAGCCUGGUGAAGUCUGAGCUUCUUCGUUACUGCCCAAUGUUCACAUGGAUAUGAUAUAGUCGGCAGGUUUAUCGUUUAUGUUCGCGUAGUUACUGCCCGAUGUGUCACGUUGUUGCAGCCUAUGCUGGUGAAAAAUCUUUCUUCAACAAGUUCAAUUGGCCGUUCUUUGGUGUCGUGUUAAGUUGCAUCAUUAUUUCUUAAAAUUGUCAUCGUGACUAUGCAGUUUACCGUUUAUAUGUUAAGAGGCAACAAAAAAAAAUAUGGGAUGUUUCAAGUCAAACAAAUAAUAAACAUGUUUUUGGGGUUGGGGAAGAAAAGUGGAGGAUGUUGGAGGUGGGGGAGGGAUAUUUCAAGUUUGGAUAAAAAUUCAGUUAAUCUAUAACCCUACAAACAUAUCCCAACAUAUCCCUACCAACUAAUCUGCCAACCCCACAAACUUAUAUACCUUCACACCCCACAAACAUACACCUACAACCCCUAAAUUUAUACCCUUAACCUUAUAAACCAAUGUUAAACCUUACCCAUGUAAUAUCUGUAAAAAAUAAAAAUAAAUAUAUUGCAUG